ensembl:lncRNA
UUCUAGAUGACUUCAGAAGAAAAGUUUAUAUUUAGAGAUGCAAAAUGUUUCUUUUAUUUUGGAGUGUGGAAGGGAAUCGGCAAUUACAAUGGGCGUUUGAAUGCUGUUGUCAGCCAACUCCUGUGUGUUCCAUGAAGAAGACUUGGGGCUAAUGAGAACAUUUGUUUUUAGAACAGAAUCCACCAAAUGGUUUUAAAGAACCAUUUCCCCUGACAGUUGUGGAAGUAAAAGCUUAUUGGUAGAAAUUUUCCUCUGGCCUCCUACUUCUCGCCUAGCCAGAGCAUUGACCGCUUAUGUCUGCCUUUGCUUUCAACAUAAGGAGUUUAGGUUUGUUUUCUUUUUCUGCAUCAGAGACAGAAGCUGUGAGAGGCAAUUGAGCAACUUCAUGCUCCACAGCCCGGGCUGCCGGGGAGCUGCACUGGCACUUCUGCGAGGAACUGGGGCACACGCAGCUGGACCUCAACAUUAAUUCCUCAAUAAUUCAUGACACGCCUAUGAAACUUUAAUGGCGAGUUCGAAAGUAAUGGCGUGGCUGCCAUGUCCCCUGAUUGUUCAUAGAGCAAGUUGCCCGGAAAUGCUGUGGACGCUCCAUCGGAACCCAACAUCACCGGCUGAAAGGAAUGCGAAGGAUGAGUUUGGAAAAUGCUGUGCCGUCUGCUGGUCACUGAGAACAAAGCAGAAAUAUCACCUGGAAAUCACUGAAAUUCAUGAAAACAUGGCACGUGUGGCUGCAUUUCUUUUACAAUCAGAGGAAGAGAAUGAACUUGGAACUCUUUUGCACACCGUGAUGGCCACGAAUUUCUGAGAUGGAAGAUGGCCUAAGUAGCUAGAGGAGAAAAACUUUUGUCAAUGGACCAGAAACAUUGCCAGCAUGGGAGCCAUCGGAGCUAGAGGUAUGAUAUGGCUUGGCUGUGUCCCUACGCAAAUCCCACCUUGAAUUGAGUCUCCCACAAUUCUUCCGUGGUUGGGAGGGACCAGGUGGGAAGUGAUUAAAUCAUGGGGGUGGGUCUUUCCUGUGCAGUUCCUGUGAUAGUAACUCCCACGAAAUCUGAUGGUUUUAUAAGGGGGGUUCCCCUGCACAAGCUCUCUCUCUUUGCCUGCUGCCAUCCAUGUAAGACGUGACUUGUUCCUCCUUGCCUUUCAUCUACAAGAGACAUAGUGGCCAAAUCCCUGAAUCUAGUGAAAAAAAAAAUGGAACAAUUCACAUGCUUGUCGGUAACAAUGUCCACAUUGAGGCCUCCCCGGCCAGGUAGAACUGUAAGUCGAUUAAACCUAUUUCUUUUGUAAAUCACUCAGUCUCUGGUACGUCUUUUUCAGGAGCGUGAGAACAGACUAAUACAAGGUGCAAAGGGAAGGACAAUCAAAGAGCCCCAGAGAAGCAGAGGGGCAGAAAAAGAUGCUGGAGAAAGAGGAAGUUCGGACGGGCAGAAUCAGGUCUUCAGACACAGCAUCCAGGCUGCAGGGGACAGUGCAGUGCCCUUUCCAGACAAGCACUGUCAGCGCUCUUGGCUUUUAUUGCUUUUUAAUAUGUUUUAAUUUCCAAAAAUUAUGUUGGGAGUACCAGAUACUUUUGUUUUAAUUUUUCAUUUGGCAGUUCCGGCCCCCUUCUCUUCACCAUUAAACAAUGACAAAGCCAUCCAUACACUUCACAAUAAUUAAGCUCUGAUUAAUUCCAGAACUGUUCUCAAUGGGGUUCGCUCAGACUGAGCUCCUUUUCUCCGUCGAGAAAACCGAGGUGGAUGGGCUUCAGCAACUCACUCAAGGUCACAACGUGCCAGGCGGGCAGAGCCGGGGCUACGGACUGCCAGCUUUUCCAGGCUAUGGCUCAGCUCACCGAACCCACCUGAAUCAAUUAUUUUUAAAACAUACAUUUCCAUUUAGUGAUUCAUGCUGGGUCUAAUUCACUUGCUGUUUAAUGUCACUUAGAAUCGUCCAGGGACUAAAACAGCCCCACAGAGAACAGAUUUGAAAAGUA